rnacentral:misc_RNA from 1 species
AACUUUUGGCAAUGGAUCUCUUGGGUCUGGCAUCGAUGAAGAACGCAGCGAAAUGCGAUAAGUAAUGUGAAUUGCAGAAUUCAGUGAAGCAUCGAAUCUUUGGACGCACAUUGCGCCCCUUGGUAUUCCGGGGGGCAUGCCUGUUCGAGCGUCAUUUCAACCCUCAAGCACCGCUUGGUCUUGGGCCGCGCCGGCAACGGCGGGCCUCAAAAAGAGUGGCGGCGCCAUCGUGCUCUCAGCGUAGUAAUUCUUCUCGCUGUUGAGUCCCGGUGGACGCUGGCCAGCAACCCCUAACUUUCUAUGGUUGACCUCGGAUCAGGUAGGGAUACCCGCUGAACUUAAGCAUAUCAAUAAGCGGAGGCU